rnacentral:misc_RNA from 1 species
GAGCGAUUCUGACAACUGAGAACUUAAGGAAGAGAAAUAUCACUCAUGUUAGCUCAUGCUUUAUGUGCAAGUGUUCGGGUGAAGAAGUUGAUCAUCUUAUUAGUGCAUUACAGAGUGGCAUCGAGUUUGUGGAGGGUGCCUUGGUGUACAAUGGAUAAUAACGGUUACCGUUAGAGAUGUUCUCCACAGUUGGGCUCGAAGACGUUGUUGUAGAGGCAAAACGCAUGGAAGGUUGCUCCAUUAGCUCUUAUGUGUGUUAUAUGGAACAAGAGAAAUAUGAGAGCUUUUGAGGUGAUCGAAAAUGAG